AAUCUGCAAGCCAGCUUCACCCCUCCCAUCGAGUUCUGGUCAGGAGGCUUCUGGUUGAGUUCAAAUUGCUAUAAAGUUCAGCUGGAGCCUUCCUUCUCCCUGUGGCCUUUUCCCAGUACCUCUGGCCACCCUCCCGAAGGACCUUUGUAAGGCCAGGCAAAAAUGGCUUGCUAGGGGACCCAGUGAUCUCCCAGGGCUUUUUCCAACUGCUUCCUCUUCCCCUAUAUUUUGCUUGGCUCUCUAAAUCGACUCAGCUCCAGGGUCUCCCUCUGUUGCCCAGGCUGGAGGACAGUGGUAUAAUCAUAGCUAACUGCAGCUUUGAACUCCUGAGAACAGCAAUCCUCCUUCCUCGGUCUUCCGCAGCAUUGGGAUUACAGGGAUUAUUGUGGAUUCCUGAGAAUUUUCUACAUAUGAAAUCAUGUCAUCUAUGAACAGAGACACGGUGCAUUUAUGCACACAUUCGACUGCACCACUGCUGCUGGUGAGAGCACACCCUGCCACCCCACCCUGCUAAUGCACAAGCAACCAGCUGCACCAUCAUUGCCAGCAUGAAUGUGCAAUCAGAUAUCAGCAACCCUGCCA
rnacentral:lncRNA from 1 species